rnacentral:rRNA from 1 species
CACGUAGGCACCAAGCGUUGUCCGGAUUUAUUGGGCGUAAAGAGCUCGUAGGCGGUUCGACAAGUCGGGUGUGAAAACUCCGGGCUCAACCCGGAGACGCCACCCGAUACUGUCGUGACUGGAGUCCGGUAGGGGAGUGGGGAAUUCCUGGUGUAGCGGUGAAAUGCGCAGAUAUCAGGAGGAACACCGGUGGCGAAGGCGCCACUCUGGACCGGUACUGACGCUGAGGAGCGAAAGCGUGGGUAGCAAACAGG